rnacentral:rRNA from 1 species
CUACGGGAGGCAGCAGUGGGGAAUAUUGGACAAUGGGGGCAACCCUGAUCCAGCAAUGCCGCGUGUGUGAAGAAGGUCUUCGGAUUGUAAAGCACUUUCACUAGGGAAGAUGAUGACGGUACCUAGAGAAGAAGCCCCGGCUAACUUCGUGCCAGCAGCCGCGGUAAUACGAAGGGGGCUAGCGUUGCUCGGAAUGACUGGGCGUAAAGGGCGCGUAGGCUGUUUGUACAGUCAGAUGUGAAAUCCCCGGGCUUAACCUGGGAACUGCAUUUGAUACGUGCAGACUAGAGUCCGAGAGAGGGUUGUGGAAUUCCCAGUGUAGAGGUGAAAUUCGUAGAUAUUGGGAAGAACACCGGUUGCGAAGGCGGCAACCUGGCUCGGAACUGACGCUGAGGCGCGAAAGCGUGGGGAGCGAACAGGAUUAGAUACCCUGGUAGUCCACGCUGUAAACGAUGUGUGCUGGAUGUUGGGUGAUUUUAUCAUUCAGUGUCGGAGCUAACGCGUUAAGCACACCGCCUGGGGAGUACGGCCGCAAGGUUGAAACUCAAAGGAAUUGACGGGGGNCCGCACAAGCGGUG